rnacentral:lncRNA from 1 species
UAUUGUAAGGGUAAUUGGGAGCCAUUGGAGAUUCUAAGGCAAGGGACCAACGUGAUCCUCUUUAUGUGUCAGAAGCUCUCUUUGGCCAUGACGUGGAGAAGCGAUUGUAUAGGGCAGAGAAUGGAAUCAGAGAGAUCAGUUAGAAGGUUAUUGUCUUAUAAUCCAGGUGAUAGGCUUGAACCAGGGUGGCAAUGGAGGAAGAGGAGGAGAACGGGUGAGAUCCUGGAUACAUUUCAGAGGGAAUCUUGCAAUGAUAAUUUUCCUGAAGUACAUAAGAGGAUGGUUGGUGACCUAACCAUGGAGUGGGCCUGCCU